rnacentral:misc_RNA from 1 species
CAGAGUUACCAAAACUCCCAACCCUUUGUGUACCUACUACCAUUGCUUCGGCGGGCUGCGGCUACCCUGCAGCUACCCUGUAAUUCAGGGUGGGCUUGCCUGGUAGCUCGCGCGAAGGCCCGUCAGAGGACCAUUAAACUCUUGUUACCCUGUACGUCAUAUCUGAAUGCUUCAACUUAAUAAGUUA